GGGGGGGGACUUUUUUUUCCUUUGUCUAUUAGUUUUUUGACGAUUUCUAAGUUUAAUCAUUUUUCCCUUUUAAUUUUCAUUAAUUUUUAAUUUUUUUAGCAAAUUACUUCUCGUCUAAUCAUUUAAAAUCCACGUGUAUGAGCCUUGUACUAAUUAUCCAAUUUUUAACAAAUCAAAUAAUUACAGGAUGGCAAACUUAACAUUCCCUGCUAGCUUAU
rnacentral:lncRNA from 1 species